UGGAAUAUCAACGCUUUCUCCUUAUGCUGAAUGUAUAAAUAGAGAGAGGGUAAACUAAAGGUUGUGUCUGAUGUUUUGUCUAAGUCACUUCUGUAAGAAAUGACUGUACUGCAUAACUGAGAUUUCCACAUUGUGUGGGAGAAUAAUCACGAUAAAAUAAUCCUUUCAGAGCUGACACUCACACUGCCCACACUGUUAUCAUUAGCCUACCAGUUGGUCUUCUUGAAUUAGAAACAUGCUGGAUCUGCAUGUCCUCUCAUCCUCAGCCACAGGCGACAACUGACAUAGCUCCUCUGAGCUCACAACUCCUCACUGGAGCGGAAGAUACAAAACCUCCAUCCAGCUGUGCCAGUGCGGUCUGCACAGGCACAUCCAGUCCGACAGUAUCGAGACGGAGAUGACAUCAGCUGCACACUCCACAGAAGAUUUAAAUGGUUUUAGAUCUGUUGCACUCACAGAGCACUCUACAGCCUGGUA
ensembl:lncRNA